rnacentral:rRNA from 1 species
UCAGGACGAACGCUGGCGGCGUGCUUAACACAUGCAAGUCGAGCGGUAAGGCCUUUCGGGGUACACGAGCGGCGAACGGGUGAGUAACACGUGGGUGAUCUGCCCUGCACUCUGGGAUAAGCUUGGGAAACUGGGUCUAAUACCGGAUAUGACCACAGCAUGCAUGUGUUGUGGUGGAAAGAUUUAUCGGUGCAGGAUGGGCCCGCGGCCUAUCAGCUUGUUGGUGGGGUAAUGGCCUACCAAGGCGACGACGGGUAGCCGACCUGAGAGGGUGACCGGCCACACUGGGACUGAGACACGGCCCAGACUCCUACGGGAGGCAGCAGUGGGGAAUAUUGCACAAUGGGCGGAAGCCUGAUGCAGCGACGCCGCGUGAGGGAUGAAGGCCUUCGGGUUGUAAACCUCUUUCAGCAGGGACGAAGCGUGAGUGACGGUACCUGCAGAAGAAGCACCGGCUAACUACGUGCCAGCAGCCGCGGUAAUACGUAGGGUGCGAGCGUUGUCCGGAAUUACUGGGCGUAAAGAGUUCGUAGGCGGUUUGUCGCGUCGUUUGUGAAAACCCGGGGCUCAACUUCGGGCUUGCAGGCGAUACGGGCAGACUUGAGUGUUUCAGGGGAGACUGGAAUUCCUGGUGUAGCGGUGAAAUGCGCAGAUAUCAGGAGGAACACCGGUGGCGAAGGCGG